rnacentral:rRNA from 1 species
GUCAAGCUACAAAGGGCUCACGGAGGAUACCUAGGCACACAGAGGCGAUGAACGACGUGUUACCUGCGAUAGUCUCGGGGAGUUGGAAGCACACUUUGAUCGGAUUUCGAUGGGGCACCCCUAGACGCAGCUGAUCUAUAGCUGCACGAGCACCAGCGACUGAACAUCUAAU